ensembl:lncRNA
UCUUUGGUUAAAAGGCUAUUUCUUAAUUCUGCCCUUUUCCUCUUCAAAUGCAGUUUGACUCUGGCUCUUUUGGGGACUGUAUUAUCUUCUUAUUUUUGCCAGCUCUCAUUGUAUCUCUUCUUAUAUCUCAGACUGUUUUGUUCCUUCUGUUUCCUUCUUCGGCUAGUUCCACUGAGACCAUAUCUUCUUGCAUCUCUCAGAGCCCUUAUCUAAGAUCAGCAUCUGUUUCUUGUAGAAAAGUCAAAAACAGUCAUGUUCAGAGAGGUCUGCUGCCUUCGGGUCUCGAGGACAGUUUUUCUCUCCUUCAGGCUCUAUGUCUUUCCAUUGGUCCCUUGUUGGAAUUUUUCCAUCACAUAAGAGAGCCCUUUAUUCAGAUUCAGUCUUGGCCAUCUGACGAGGUAAAUGCAGUGUCCUCAGCCUCCCUCUUGGGUGCUGGCGGUUUUCUCUCGGGAAUCGAAGCCUGCUGGACUCAAACACUCAUGCUGGCGGGCCUUGUCUGGGGUGUCUCUGCACCACACUAGGGCUACUCUUCUGCUCAGCUCUCAGGAUCUCUGAUUAGGUUAGGCUGGAGAAUCAAAUGCAGCUUGCAGAUCUUUGAGCAACCAUUCCUAGCACCCUUCCUGGCUUUGUUUGUUUUACCACUGUUGAUGUUACUUCCUCUAGCAAUUAAACCUCUGAAGAUGACACAUGCCUUCAGCCAUCCUUCUCUCUCACUGUGCUGCCGCCUUGCCAUUUAGAGAGAGGCAGUAAAGGAGGAUGAAACUAGGCUUUGACCUUGAAGAUAAUUCCUGCCUACCCAGGUAAAAGAUCACCACUAACAAAUAAUUUGAGUAAAACAAAACUGUUUCCUUCCUGCAUGGGGGAUGUCUGUCCCAUUCUGGCUCAGAGGGGGCAACCCAAGUGGUAUGAAAUCCAAGAAUGUUCUAAAUGCAUCCCAGUGGACAAUGUGGUUAGUGAAAAAUCUGCCUGGAGUUUGGCUCCCAGCCUCCUCUUUGGUCAUAGGGCUGUUGCCAGGUUUCAUAUUUGUGUGGGACUUUCUGGGAAUCUUAGGGAAUGCUGUGCGGGGUAUCAGGUGUGUCUGGUCUGCUCCUGCACUCACCUGGGUGUCUUUGGGAGUUAUAUUUGUGGCUUGAUGCAAAAACCUUCUCGUGUUUUUGUCUUCUUUUGUCAAGCCUGGGUAAUAGCUACCUCUGUCUCAUGCUCACCAUGCUCCAUUAGCAACUGUGGUUGCCUUUUGAGCAUC